AAGCAGGGGAUCGUAAGACCUUGCGCUUUUGGAGCGGCCGAUGUCUGAUUAGCUAGUUGGUGGGGUAAUGGCCUACCAAGGCUACGAUCAGUAGCUGGUCUGAGAGGACGGCCAGCCACACUGGGACUGAGACACGGCCCAGACUCCUACGGGAGGCAGCAGUGGGGAAUUUUGGACAAUGGGCGCAAGCCUGAUCCAGCCAUGCCGCGUGAGUGAAGAAGGCCUUCGGGUUGUAAAGCUCUUUCAGCCGGGAAGAAAAGGUUGCGAUUAAUAAUCGCAAUUCAUGACGGUACCGAAAGAAGAAGCACCGGCUAACUACGUGCCAGCAGCCGCGGUAAUACGUAGGGUGCGAGCGUUAAUCGGAAUUACUGGGCGUAAAGGGUGCGCAGGCGGUUUUGUAAGUCAGAUGUGAAAUCCCCGGGCUUAACCUGGGAACUGCGUUUGAAACUACAAAGCUAGAGU
rnacentral:rRNA from 1 species